UUCCCACUUUAUACACCACAAACUGAACCCUAACCUCACAAGUGCGGCCCCGCCAUCCACCCUCCGUCUCUCUCACUGAAACUCAUCCAUUCUCUUUCUUUGCCCUGAUGAAGGAAAAAAUUCCUCACUUAUUCAUACCCAUGUUUUUGAACUAUGGCCAUCGAUAGCUUGGAGGCCUCAAAUGCUAUAUUUCAGGCAUUGUGGAUUUAAUGCUUGCUGCUAUUCUGGUCUCUGAUGUUUUUGGCUAAAUGAAAAAGGAUACCCUCGUAAUUAUAAUUUCACUGCCUUUUAGGAAAGGUUUUGUUUAUUUUCAUUAUUAUAGGAUUUUGGUGUUGCAAAGUUUGUAUCUUAUUGCUUAAUAUGGUAUUGAUGAUUUCUAAGACAUCUUAGCUUCUAUUCAUAUUCUGUUUUUCUUUGGCUUGGAAGUUAAUUAACAUUUUUUUGUAGAUGCCAAGCUAGUUGCUUUCAAGCUACUCAUCUUGCACAUGCGGCUCGAGUAUUGACAUGCCUCUAGCAGAAAGGAUAUGAAGCUCCUAACUUGAGGUACUUAAUCUUUAUUUUUCCCCCUAGAUUAGGAUAAGAUUCUACUCAUUGUACUUGUUAUUAUAGAACUUAUUGAUUUUGCAGAUGUUUCUUCCCUGUUCUUGGCAUAUGUUUGAUAUCCUUGUGUACCUAACUUGCUAGAUUCCUACAUACCCAUGUCAAAUUAAUGUAAAGCUAUAUAAUGUUGAGAUUCUAA